rnacentral:misc_RNA from 1 species
GAUGAAGAACGCAGCGAAAUGCGAUAAGUAAUGUGAAUUGCAGAACUCAGUGAAUCAUCGAAUCUUUGAACGCACAUUGCGCCCCCUGGCCUUCCGGGGGGCAUGCCUGUUCGAGCGUCAUUGCUGCCCUCAAGCACGGCUUGUGUGUUGGGCCCCGUCCUCCGAUCCCGGGGGACGGGCCCGAAAGGCAGCGGCGGCACCGCGUCCGGUCCUCGAGCGUAUGGGGCUUUGUCACCCGCUCUGUAGGCCCGGCCGGCGCUUGCCGAUCAACCCAAAUUUUUAUCCAGGUUGACCUCGGAUCAGGUAGGGAUACCCGCUGAACUUAAGCAUAUCAAUAAGCGGAGGA